GUGCAAUCCAGACUGUAAUAAUAACACCUAUUUUGGGAUUAUUUUUUUUUCCUUUUCAUUUUUUUCAGAACCUACACCUGUAUUAUGAUUUUAGAACGACACUGCAACACUUCUCUCUAACAAGGCCAGAUCGGAUUCAGACCUUCCUCUGUGUGUGAUGGAUGUGUUAUUACAUGGCAUUUUAUGCCCAACAUUAGCAGCAUAUUGUGUUGCUGUCCUUCAGCCUGUAAUCACAUUACGCCUGUCUUGCAUCAAUCCUAAUCCACACACAAAUCUCUGGAGUGUGUUCUGGGCUUAAUCACAAUCCCAGCUGGAAUGCAACGCCCUGCUUUGGAAUCAGGUAAGAACAGCCAUUGUUUUACUCUUCUUUUCUUUUUUAUUCUCAUAUUUCUAAAUCCCAGGAGGCUUCUGAAAACGCUCUUUAUAAACCCACCAACCUCAGGAACCCUGAUCAAAUGUGUCAGUACGUUGUCAGACAUGUGUUAAGGCAGAUUUUGCUUUAUAUAUAUGAACAACGCUCUGUCUCUAUUUAGAUAAAUAGUGUAAUUUUGCAUUAGUGACCUCCAAGGGCAACAAUAAGAUGGAGAGCCUAUUCAUCUACAGCAGGUGGUUUUUCUUUUAUUUUUUCAUUCUGGAGUGUUAGUGAUUGCAGAAAUUAAAUUACAAAUAGCAUUUAAGGACCCACAAAUAUGCCAUGGGACUAGACUGGAGAAAAUGGAAGUGUUCAUUUUGGAGUCUGUAGAAACAGAUGACUGAAUAGCCAAAGAAAGAAAGUUGGUAAAAAUUGAUUAAAUUGAUAAAUUCACUAGCAUGUUUGUUUCCCAAUCCCAUUUUUAAUCCUAAACACCACAGUAAUUUGAUUUAGCUUCACCAUAUUGCACUGUUUUUUCAGGUAGUUACUAUAUAAUAAGCCUAAGUUUGAAAAUCUGUAUGUGCAUACAAGGUGUGGUACCUGAUUUGCUGCUUUACAUGAGAUAUUUACAGCCAUAUUCACAACAAAAAGUGUCCUAAGAUUUGCUCUGAGUUACACCCAAGACAUUCAGCUGCCAUUCCACAGUGAGGGAGGUGCAGUUUCUGGCAGUAUUUGUGAGAAAUUCUGGGAAGAACGUGUGUGUGUGAGAACAUUUUUCUCAGCCUGUGUGUGAGAUCUCAAACCCAGAACUCAGAUGUUGACUGAAUUAUUUUCCCACAUCCUGUCCGUGCUCUUCUCACUGGCCUCAUUGUUCUGCCCGUAGCCCGAACCGAGCCUUUUUUCUUUUGUUUGCGGACGGACAUGAGGAAGCUUGACGUCAUUCUAUUUCUGCCUUCUUGUGAAUUUUUCCUGGAGACGAGCCACAUAGUAUAUCAGGAUGUGGAGAUGGAUGAGGGCUUCAUAGGGGCUUUCCCUGUAUCUGAUCAGCAGUAGGGUAGUGAGUUAUACUCUAUUGUUAUAUACACCAUUAGAUGAUGUCAUGAAUUUACCACGUCCCCAUAACAACAAAACCCGAAGUUUAUAAGAAAAAAGAAUUUAAUGCCAAGCCAUCAUUAGUACAAUAUGCAUGUACAGAUUGAGAGCAGUGGAAUUUUCCUCUUAUACCAGAAGAACAAUAACAAUGUCUUAUUUAAUAAAGAACAAUGCAUACUUUUUAUCCAUUUAUAGUUACAUCUGCAAAACAAGUGAGUUCCUGUUAUCACUUACAUUACUGCAACUAUAAACAGUCGUUACCUCACCAGCCUCUCUUUUUUUCUCUAUCUUGAAGUGUGUGUGUGUGUGUGUGGAGUGGAGCGUAUGAGUGUGUAAAUACAGCUUGUCUUUAUGCUAGAAUGUUUAACUAUAUGGUGAAGGUGGUGCCACAGGCCCUGACUGGUCCGGAUCAUGUGAGGGAGCAGGAGCAGAGUACUACAACUGGAAAAGUUCCAGGAAACAGAGGAAAGCUGAAGUCAGUCAAAUCAAUCAGGGAUGAUGAUCAAGCAUCAGAAACGUCCCAGGGCAGGCAAGUAACCAGAGGUGGAAAGUGCUUGUAAUUAUACAUUUCCUUUAAGAAACCCCACGCUGUUAACUCUCAAAUAUCAUGACUCCUAUU